rnacentral:pre_miRNA from 1 species
AGCCUUCUGUAUCCGUGCGGAGAUUUCGUCAGACAUCAACCCAAUGGAACUGGCUGAUGCAACUACCCAAAUAAGUGAAGCG